rnacentral:rRNA from 1 species
CCUACGGGAGGCAGCAGUGGGGAAUUUUGGACAAUGGGGGAAACCCUGAUCCAGCCAUGCCGCGUGAGUGAAGAAGGCCUUCGGGUUGUAAAGCUCUUUCAGCCGGAACGAAACGGUCACGGUCAAUACCCGUGACUACUGACGGUACCGGAAGAAGAAGCACCGGCUAACUACGUGCCAGCAGCCGCGGUAAUACGUAGGGUGCAAGCGUUAAUCGGAAUUACUGGGCGUAAAGCGUGCGCAGGCGGUUUUGUAAGUCAGAUGUGAAAUCCCCGGGCUUAACCUGGGAACUGCGUUUGAAACUACAAGGCUAGAGUGUGGCAGAGGGGGGUGGAAUUCCACGUGUAGCAGUGAAAUGCGUAGAGAUGUGGAGGAACACCGAUGGCGAAGGCAGCCCCCUGGGUUAACACUGACGCUCAGGCACGAAAGCGUGGGGAGCAAACAGGAUUAGAUACCCUGGUAGUCCACGCCCUAAACGAUGUCAACUAGUUGUCGGGUCUUAACGGACUUGGUAACGCAGCUAACGCGUGAAGUUGACCGCCUGGGGAGUACGGUCGCAAGAUUAAAACUCAAAGGGAUUGACGG